AAUUUGUAUUACAGAGUUUGAGUAAAGUUCAGUUUGUCGAGAUUUAAUUCUGUUGUCGGUGUAGCCGACUUUCGCAAAUUUCUAUUUUAAAAGUGUAGUGUACUAAAAAAAGCGCGUGGCGCUUUUUUUGGUACGGGCUGGAAUUUUCGAGGUCGACCCGGAGUCGGCGAAAAGGGUUUGCGGCAUUUCCGCCGUUUGAUCGUUGAAGGAGUUUUUGUGGAGUCCGUGCGCUCAUCAAGGCCCGCCCUUCGGGGUAGCGAAACGAAGUGUGGUGAAGUUUCGUAAGAAUAGUGAAGCGAAAAGUGAACCGUCGAUCGCCAAUUAAUCGACGGUGGUCCGAACCCUACGGACCGUUCAG